rnacentral:rRNA from 1 species
UACGUAGGGUCCGAGCGUUGUCCGGAAUUACUGGGCGUAAAGAGCUCGUAGGUGGUUUGUCGCGUUGUUCGUGAAAACUCACAGCUCAACUGUGGGCGUGCGGGCGAUACGGGCAGACUGGAGUACUGCAGGGGAGACUGGAAUUCCUGGUGUAGCGGUGGAAUGCGCAGAUAUCAGGAGGAACACCGGUGGCGAAGGCGGCUACCUGGACAGAAACUGACGCUGAGGCGCGAAAGCUAGGGGAGCAAACAGG